UACGGAGGAUGCAAGCGUUAUCCGGAAUGAUUGGGCGUAAAGCGUCCGCAGGUGGCUAUGUAAGUCUGCUGUUAAAUAGUGAGGCUCAACCUCAUAAAGGCAGUGGAAACUACAAGGCUAGAGUGCGUUCGGGGCAGAGGGAAUUCCUGGUGUAGCGGUGAAAUGCGUAGAGAUCAGGAAGAACACCGGUGGCGAAAGCGCUCUGCUAGGCCGCAACUGACACUGAGGGACGAAGGUGCGGGGAUCAAACAGG
rnacentral:rRNA from 1 species